AUGGGAAACGAAAAAGCAAAUAGCCAUUGGGAAGCAGAGCUGCCUCCUAAAUAUGAUAGGGUUGGGAUAGAGAAUUUCAUCCGUGCAAAAUAUGAGGACAAGAGAUGGGUACCAAGGAAUGGAACAUUGCGACUUUCCUCCGGUGUUCGAGAUGAGAAGAGCCAAGAGUCUCCAGCUAGUGCUAAUUGGAGUGGACAUCAUAGAUCUUCAUUUGAGCAAAACCAUGCUUCACCAGCUCUUCCGAGCAAAGUUGCACCUGUAGCUUCAAGGAUACCCUCUCAGGCAUCACCUCAGCCCCCAAAGGUAGAACCACCAGUUCCUAAGGUGGUUUCACCUCCUCAGCCACAAAAAUCUCCUGCCAAAGUUGAGGCAACACCCCCUAAAGUUGAGAAGCCAUCAGUUGCGCCGCCUCCUAAAGUUGAUUAUGCUACUGAUCUCUUUAACAUGUUAUCAAUGGAUGGAACAAUAGAGAAAGAGCCAGAGUCAUCUCCAAACGACGAUAAUGCCUGGGAUGGCUUCCAGUGUAAGUUCUUGUGACUAUUCGACUGAUGAACUGUUCUAUUUAUGUGUUCAUUUUAUUGUGCCUUUCUUACUUUGUUGGAUCUUAGUAUGAUAUUUAUGGAUUUCCAUGUCACUUUUUUGUACUGUUGCUCAUGGAAUAUCAAAACUGUUCAGCUGCACAACCAGUACCUAGCUCCGAGGAAAAAGAUUCUGCCAAACCAGCAGAAAGCAAGACCCAGUCUACAUCUGGAAUAGAAGACUUAUUUAAAGAUUCGCCAGCUGUGUCGUUAUCCUCAGCUCCAGUUGUUUCCCAAGAAAAUGCAAAGAAUGAUAUCAUGAGUUUGUUUGAGAAGUCCGAUAUGGCAUCACCAUUUGCUGUCCAACAGCAGCAGCUGGCGUUUAUGUCUCAGCAGCAAGCUCUUCUAAUGGCUGCUCUUAAAGCUGGAAAUUCACCACAAAUAGUUCCAGGGAAUGCCAAUCAACUAAACACUAACGUUUCUAAUCCCCCUCUUGGAACCUUGCCUUUCCAAAACUGGACAAAUCUUGGCUAUCAAAAUCCUGGGUUGACUCUAGCAGCAGCACAGAAUGGUGCCACAAUGAGGAGCAUUUCAGUUUCCUGAGC